UACGUAGGGGGCGAGCGUUGUCCGGAGUUACUGGGCGUAAAGCGCACGUAGGUGGUUUGCUAAGUCAGCUGUGAAAUCCCCGGGCUCAACCUGGGCACUGCAGUUGAAACUGGCAAGCUAGAGUAGGGUAGAGGGGUGUGGAAUUCCAGGUGUAGCGGUGAAAUGCGUAGAUAUCUGGAGGAACAUCAGUGGCGAAGGCGACAUCCUGGACUCAUACUGACACUGAGGUGCGAAAGCGUGGGGAGCAAACAGG
rnacentral:rRNA from 1 species